rnacentral:rRNA from 1 species
UAAAUCAGUUAUGGUUCACUAGAUCGUAUACUUUACAUGGAUAACUGUGGUAAUUCUAGAGCUAAUACAUGCAACCAGCUCGGCUGCCUUGUGCAGCGAGCGCAGUUAUUAGAACAAAACCAAUCCGGCUUCUGUCGGUUGACUGGUGACUCUGAAUAACCGAAGCGGAGCGCAAAGGUCUCGUACCGGCGCCAGAUCUUUCAAGUGUCUGACUUAUCAGCUUGUUGCGAGGUUAUGUUCCUCGCAUGGCGAUUACGGGUGACGGGGAAUUAGGGUCCGAUUCCGGAGAGGGAGCCUGAGAAACGGCUACCACAUCCAAGGAAGGCAGCAGGCGCGCAAAUUACCCACUCCCAGCACGGGGAGGUAGUGACGAAAAAUAACGAUGCGAGGGCCUAUGGCUUUUCGUAAUCGGAAUGGGUACACUUUAAAUCCUUUAACGAGGAUCUAUUGGAGGGCAAGUCUGGUGCCAGCAGCCGCGGUAAUUCCAGCUCCAAUAGCGUAUAUUAAAGUUGCUGCGGUUAAAAAGCUCGUAGUUGGAUCCGGGCAGUCGACGCGCGGUGCGCUCUCGGGCGUUACUGCGUGUUCGUCGCCACUAUCCGGCUCUGUCUUGCAUGCUCUUUAUUGAGCGUGCUUGGCUACCGGGACGUUUACUUUGAAAAAAUUAGAGUGCUUAAAGCAGGCAUAUGGCCUUGCAUAAUGGUGCAUGGAAUAAUGGAAUAGGACCUCGGUUCUAUUUUGUUGGUUUUCGGAACUCGAGGUAAUGAUUAAGAGGAACAGACGGGGACAUU